AAAGUUGGCAGUUAUCCCAGAUAUCAUUUUAUUCCUCUGAACAAAACACCUGGUAAUUUUUCUGUGGAAACUUCAAGAGCAAACAUAUUUACAUUCAAUACAGAGUUUCUAAGAAAAAUCACUGCAGUACAAAGAAGAUUCCAGAAGCAAAGCACAAACCAUCACAGAUACUGUUUACACCAAACACAAAAAAACAGACCAGUGGAGGAGAAAAAAGAAACCACUAGGCUUUCUGGUGCACUUCUGUGGUGAGUAACGAGUCCUGUGAGAUUCAGAAUCAGGAGAAACGCAGCAGAACCGGAACUCAGGAUCGAAGUGAACUCCACCGCACGCGCCGCUCACGGCUGCAACGUCACCCCCUUCCACAGAACACUUCCGCAUACGUCACGAUUUGGGCGUGGCUUUUAGUUCAGACAUGAGUCCCAUCCAGUGGCUUAUACAAGAUCACCUGUAUGCAGGUGACGUCCUCGUUCUGUUGAAGGACCUGCAGCAUCCGAGCGUUAAAUACAACCUAAUUAUAGGGUUGGACAUGUGUGAGCAAUUCGUCCCAUACCACAUGGACGUUUCCUUCCUCAAGGUCAAAUGGGUAUAAAUACAGCAGCAAGGAGGAUCCUCGGGCGCAAGGGGCCGGGCGUUACCCGACUUCACACGGGCCGAGGCGGACGCUGACAGGAUGCCGAGGAAACAAUCGGUUAAAGUGGAGGAUGGAGGAUGCUGGGACGAGGACGGAGACCAAAGCCAUGAAAAAUAAACAUUUUUAUUCAUAUAGACAUAAUCGUGUAAAAACUGGUCUGUAGGAAAGCA